GACGAACGCUGGCGGCGUGCUUAACACAUGCAAGUCGAACGAAGAGCGAUGGAAGCUUGCUUCUAUCAAUCUUAGUGGCGAACGGGUGAGUAACGCGUAAUCAACCUGCCCUUCAGAGGGGGACAACAGUUGGAAACGACUGCUAAUACCGCAUACGAUCUAAUCUCGGCAUCGAGGAUAGAUGAAAGGUGGCCUCUACAUGUAAGCUAUCACUGAAGGAGGGGAUUGCGUCUGAUUAGCUAGUUGGAGGGGUAACGGCCCACCAAGGCGAUGAUCAGUAGCCGGUCUGAGAGGAUGAACGGCCACGUUGGGACUGAGACACGGCCCAGACUCCUACGGGAGGCAGCAGUGGGGAAUCUUCCGCAAUGGACGAAAGUCUGACGGAGCAACGCCGCGUGAGUGAUGACGGCCUUCGGGUUGUAAAGCUCUGUUAAUCGGGACGAAAGGCCUUCUUGCGAAUAGUGAGAAGGAUUGACGGUACCGGAAGAGAAAGCCACGGCUAACUACGUG
rnacentral:rRNA from 1 species